UACGUAGGUGGCAAGCGUUGUCCGGAUUUACUGGGCGUAAAGGGCUCGUAGGCGGCCAACUAAGUCGGACGUGAAAUCCCCAGGCUCAACCUGGGAACUGCGUCCGAUACUGGAUGGCUUGAAUCCGGGAGAGGGAUGCGGAAUUCCAGGUGUAGCGGUGAAAUGCGUAGAUAUCUGGAGGAACACCGGUGGCGAAGGCGGCUCUCUGGACCGAGACUGACGCUGAGGCGCGAAAGCGUGGGGAGCGAACAGG
rnacentral:rRNA from 1 species